UUUAUUCUACUUUAUUCUACUUUAUUAUUAUUGUUGUGUGGAUGCUUUAGGCAUCCACACUAUUGAGUUCCUGUUUCUCUUUAUUCUUUAUACUUUAUUAUUCUAGUUGCUUCCGUACACUUUUUGGCACUUAUCUACUCCCUCAGUUUUCAGCCGAUUUUCUCCGUUCAAACUCUAAACUGUUCUGCUCUUUCUGCUAAUGCCGGCUAUGACUUUUGGUGUUUAUUACUGUUAUACUUUUUAAAAUAUUACACUUUUUUCCUUU
rnacentral:lncRNA from 1 species